CAAUAGCGUAUAUUAAAGUUGUUGCGGUUAAAAAGCUCGUAGUUGGAUUUCUGUCGAGGACGACCGGUCCGCCCUCUGGGUGAUGCAUCUGGCUCGGCCUUGGCAUCUUCUUGGGGAACGUUACUGCACUUGACUGUGUGGUGCGGUAUCCAGGACUUUUACUUUGAGGAAAUUAGAGUGUUUCAAGCAGGCGCACGCCUUGAAUACAUUAGCAUGGAAUAAUAAGAUAGGACCUUGGUUCUAUUUUGUUGGUUUCUAGAGCUGAGGUAAUGAUUAAUAGGGAUAGUUGGGGGCAUUCGUAUUUAACUGUCAGAGGUGAAAUUCUUGGAUCUGCUAAAGACGGACAACUGCGAAAGCGUUUGCCCAGGAUGUUUUCAUUGA
rnacentral:rRNA from 1 species